GCCUGUGUGGCUCAGUUGGUUGGGCGACUGACUUCAGCUCAGGUCAUGAUCUCACAGCUCGUGGGUUCAAGCCCCGUGUUGGGCU
rfam:Felis catus isolate Cinnamon breed Abyssinian chromosome A1, whole genome shotgun sequence.